rnacentral:rRNA from 1 species
GCUUACAGCCAUACCACCCUGUCUGCGCCUGAUCUUGUCUGAUCUCGGAAGCUAAACAGGGUCGGGCCUGGUUAGUACUUGGAUGGGAGACUGCCUGAGUAUACCAGGUGCUCUAAGCU